rnacentral:rRNA from 1 species
GUAGGGAAUAUUGGGCAAUGGAGGCAACUCUGACCCAGCCAUGCCGCGUGAAGGAAGACGGUCCUAUGGAUUGUAAACUUCUUUUAUCAUAGAGUAACCGCAGGGACGUGUCCCUGCCUGCAAGUAUAUGAUGAAUAAGCAUCGGCUAACUCCGUGCCAGCAGCCGCGGUAAUACGGAGGAUGCAAGCGUUAUCCGGAUUUAUUGGGUUUAAAGGGUGCGCAGGCUGACCGGUAAGUCAGGGGUGAAACUUUACAGCUUAACUGUAAACGUGCCUUUGAUACUGCCGGACUAGAGUUUAAGAGACGUAAUUGGAAUGUGAUGUGUAGCGGUGAAAUGCUUAGAUAUAUCACAGAACGCCGAUCGUGAAGACAGAUUACGAACUUAAUACUGACGCUCAUGCACGAAAGCGUGGGGAUCAAACAGGAUUAGAAACCCUUGUAGUCC